GCCCGCCGGGCGCCGAGCGCAUCGCCCCGCUCUCGCACUCACUCUCGUGCGCAGGCCCCGCAGCCGCCGCGAUCGGAGGCGGUGCUCGGCCAGGAGCCCGGCAGGGGCCGGAGAAGGAGAGGACUUGGGUGAAAAGCUGCCGCCGCACCUGAGACUCCACUGCUGCCACCGCCGCUGCUGUUACCGUGGGGACCUGCCUGAGACCAGGCCAGGGACAGAGCUUCACUGGUCAGAGGGGCUCCUUCCACCUGCAGAGAUCUGAGCAGAGACGACUGGCCGCCCUGAGCGCAAUUCAAUUCAACAGACAUUUACUGAGUGCCUACUAUGCGCCAGGCCUUAGGCUAGGCACUGGG
rnacentral:lncRNA from 1 species